AAUGAAUGGACCCUACCUAGGGUCCUUGUUUCUCCAAAACCCGAACAGACACCCUGGUCUUGUCACAAACUUAGCCUGUGACCUGCAGCACAUGACUGUCACUCUUGGGCCUCACUUUCCCCAUCUAUAAAACAGAGGUCAUGUGAAAUGAUGGUCUCUAAGGUGCCUUCUAACUGAUACAUUAUGACAAUCUUUCCCAAAGCAAUUGUUAUUCAAUGGCUAAGCAAAAAAGUUAUAAAAUUAUCCCUUGUGGGAAGAUUCAGACCAAGGUCCAGUUUUCUCUACAUGAAAAUGCAACACUUUACAAUGUUGUGUAAGUGCAGAAAGUGAAAAGACAGUCAUUAAAAAGCUGAGAAAAAUAAAGUCAGGAAAGAAUGCCUGCAUAAAUCGCUCAGUCUGACUUCAAAGGGAAAUUUUUUUCCAAAGUAAGAUCAUGAGAAUUGAUUUAUGUCCUCAGAGCCAAUGCAAAUGCAGGAUUUGUACAAUAUCCAUUUAUCAGUUCCAAAGGAGCUGAUUUACGGCCCACCUCUUCUAGUUUGUAUUUUGUCCAGCUCAGAAAGUUAACUGACAACACAGAAAGAAAUAUCCUCUGUCUCAUGGCAGAUGACGGGUUAUAAAUGAGCACAACUUGAUUCUCUGUUCUGGAAAAUUAGUGUUUUGAAACUCUCAUUAGAAAUUAGUCAUUAAAGCUGUUCCCAAACUU
rnacentral:antisense_RNA from 1 species